rnacentral:rRNA from 1 species
CCUACGGGAGGCAGCAGUGGGGAAUAUUGCACAAUGGGGGAAACCCUGAUGCAGCGACGCCGCGUGAGUGAAGAAGUAAUUCGUUAUGUAAAGCUCUAUCAGCAGGGAAGAAAAUGACGGUACCUGAGUAAGAAGCCCCGGCUAACUACGUGCCAGCAGCCGCGGUAAUACGUAGGGGGCAAGCGUUAUCCGGAUUUACUGGGUGUAAAGGGGGCGCAGACGGCAGCGCAAGCCAGGAGUGAAAGCCCGGGGCCCAACCCCGGGACUGCUCUUGGAACUGCGCGGCUGGAGUGCAGGAGGGGCAGGCGGAAUUCCUGGUGUAGCGGUGAAAUGCGUAGAUAUCAGGAGGAACACCGGUGGCGAAGGCGGCCUGCUGGACUGCGACUGACGUUGAGGCCCGAAAGCGUGGGGAGCAAACAGGAUUAGAUACCCCUGUAGUC